GACGAACGCUGGCGGCGUGCUUAACACAUGCAAGUCGAACGGGUCUGCCCUGUUUUUUGCGGGGUGGGUCAGUGGCGAACGGGUGAGUAACACGUGAGUAACCUGCCCCUCACUUCUGGAUAACCGCUUGAAAGGGUGGCUAAUACGGGGUGUUCUGGCUGUGCCGCAUGGUGUGGCUGGGAAAGAUUCACUUUUGUGGUGUUUUGGUGGGGGAUGGGCUCGCGGCCUAUCGGCUUGUUGGUGGGGGGAUGGCCUGCCAAGGCUUUGACGGGUAGCCGGCCUGGGAGGGUGGGCGGUCACGCUGGGACUGAGCUACGGCCCAGACUCCUGCGGGAGGCAGCAGUGGGGGGUAUUGCACAAUGGGCGGAAGCCUGAUGCAGCGACGUCGCGUGAGGGAUGGAGGCCUGCGGGUUGUGAACCUCUUUCGCCGGUGAAGAAGGUCCUGCUCUUUGUGGUGGGGUUGACGGUAGCCGGGUUAUGAAGCGCCGGCUAACUACGUG
rnacentral:rRNA from 1 species